AUGUGCCGUUGCAUGGACAAGGUCGAGCAGUGUGCUGCAACCUGCAAGAAAUGCGAGCCGGCCACGUCGGACUCAUCCCGCCGCGUCUGCAACGACUGGUACCACGGUUUCCCGGGGGCCAAGUGCACCGCCGGCGGUAACUAG
rnacentral:rRNA from 1 species